UACGUAGGGGGCAAGCGUUGUCCGGAAUCAUUGGGCGUAAAGCGCGUGUAGGCGGCUUGGUAAGUCUGCUCUGAAAGCCCGGGGCUCAACCCCGGGAGGCGGGUGGAUACUGUCAAGCUCGAGUCCGGAAGAGGAGUGUGGAAUUCCUGGUGUAGCGGUGAAAUGCGUAGAGAUCGUAAGGAAGACCAGUGGCGAAGGCGGGUCUCUGGACAGUUCCUGACACUGAGGCACGAAGGCCAGGGGAGCAAACGGG
rnacentral:rRNA from 1 species